UUUAUCCCAAACCCAUCAAUCUAUAUUGGAUACAAAAAUCCAUAGGCAGCAGGGUGUUGAGAUAGAGACUACACCAUUAAAACUUGUGUUUUCCACAGUGUCCAGGUGCCCCAUUACAUAGACUGGCCAAGGCUGCAUCUAUAAUGCCAAAACACAAAAGGCUGCUGCAGGAGGAUCACUAGUUUGAAGCCAACAUGUGCUACGUAACCAGACUUUUUCAGAUUGACAAAUCAGAAGUUGAGCUCCAUUUGUUGGGACUCCACGGACUCAGGCUGAUUGAAUGCGUGUGCUGAGGUGAGACCUGUGCUGAGGCGAGACCUGUGCUGAGGUGAGACCUGUGCUGAGGCGAGGCCUGUGCUGAGGCGAGACCUGUGCUGAGGUGAGACCUGUACUGAGGUGAGACCUGUGCUGAGGUGAGACCUGUGCUGAGGCGAGGCCUGUGCUGAGGCAAGGCACAUGGAGGACACAUAAUGCUUGGAGCAUAUAAAUAGGACUCCACAGAGUGAUGGAGACAGAGUCUGGCUUGCUGGUACAGCUAGCUGUGCAUUCUUGUGAGUCUUGAGUCUUCCCUGAUCCUCACUUUCCUGAGAGAGGCAUAGCCAAGAACUUCUCCUGGUGUUCCCGCUGGUCCCUCCUGCUGACUUGAACAGAGUCUAAGGCCUGACUGUCUCUGUUAAGUUGUGUCACCACUGUUGCUAACCCGGCUCUACCAAACUGGACUCCUGGUGUAUCCAUGAAGUGUUUUCACGUGGAUCAAGCUGCUGCUGCCUGCUGACCUGUGAACUGAACUGCCGAUUUCCAGACAACACAGAUGGGAGGUGCUCCAAAGAACCUUUCUAAAAAGGUCCAUCUCCCCCUGUAUCCUUUCUUUUCAACUACCUCUGGUGGGUGGUGGGCUACAAGGGAGGGUAAAGCUUCUAAGAACAAUCAUUAAAAGUAAGGUUUGAAAAAAAUUAAAGUGCACAUAUAAAUGAAA